AGCGAACGCUGGCGGCAGGCCUAACACAUGCAAGUCGAGCGCCCGUAGCAAUACGGGAGCGGCAGACGGGUGAGUAACACGUGGGAACGUGCCCUUUGGUUCGGAAUAACUCAGGGAAACUUGAGCUAAUACCGGAUAAGCCCUUACGGGGAAAGAUUUAUCGCCGAAGGAGCGGCCCGCGUCCGAUUAGCUAGUUGGCGGUGUAAUGGACCACCAAGGCGACGAUCGGUAGCUGGUCUGAGAGGAUGACCAGCCACACUGGGACUGAGACACGGCCCAGACUCCUACGGGAGGCAGCAGUGGGGAAUAUUGGACAAUGGGGGCAACCCUGAUCCAGCCAUGCCGCGUGGGUGAUGAAGGCCCUAGGGUUGUAAAGCCCUUUCGGCGGGGAAGAUAAUGACGGUACCCGCAGAAGAAGCCCCGGCUAACUUCGUGCCAGCCGCCGCCGUAACAC
rnacentral:rRNA from 1 species